AGAAUCAACGCUGGCGGCGUGCCUAACACAUGCAAGUCGAACGAGAAAGUGGUAGCAAUACCAUGAGUAAAGUGGCGCACGGGUGAGUAACACGUGACUAACCUACCCUUGAGUGGGGGAUAACUGAGGGAAACCUUAGCUAAUACCGCAUAAUACCCACGGGUCAAAGGAGCAAUUCGCUCGAGGAGGGGGUCGCGGCCGAUUAGUUAGUUGGCAGGGUAAUGGCCUACCAAGACGAUGAUCGGUAUCCGGCCUGAGAGGGCGCACGGACACACUGGAACUGAAACACGGUCCAGACUCCUACGGGAGGCAGCAGUGGGGAAUUUUGCGCAAUGGGGGAAACCCUGACGCAGCAACGCCGCGUGGAGGAUGAAGUCCUUCGGGACGUAAACUCCUUUCGAUCGGGACGAUUAUGACGGUACCGGAAGAAGAAGCCCUGCUAACUUCGCGCCAGCAGCCGC
rnacentral:rRNA from 1 species